rnacentral:rRNA from 1 species
AGCGAACGCUGGCGGCAGGCUUAACACAUGCAAGUCGAGCGGGCACUUCGGUGUCAGCGGCAGACGGGUGAGUAACACGUGGGAACGUACCCUUCGGUUCGGAAUAACGCUGGGAAACUAGCGCUAAUACCGGAUACGCCCUUUUGGGGAAAGGUUUACUGCCGAAGGAUCGGCCCGCGUCUGAUUAGCUAGUUGGUGGGGUAAUGGCCUACCAAGGCGACGAUCAGUAGCUGGUCUGAGAGGAUGAUCAGCCACACUGGGACUGAGACACGGCCCAGACUCCUACGGGAGGCAGCGGUGGGGAAUAUUGGACAAUGGGCGCAAGCCUGAUCCAGCCAUGCCGCGUGAGUGAUGAAGGCCUUAGGGUUGUAAAGCUCUUUUGUCCGGGACGAUAAUGACGGUACCGGAAGAAUAAGCCCCGGCUAACUUCGUG